CGGCAACAGCUCAAAUUUGAAAUCUGGCCCUUUCAGGGUCCGAGUUGUAAUUUGUAGAGGAUGCUUCGGCGAGAGCUCCCGUCUAAGUUCCCUGGAACGGGACGUCAUAGAGGGUGAGAAUCCCGUAUGUGAUGGGUUGCUCGAGCCAUGUGAAGCUCCUUCGACGAGUCGAGUUGUUUGGGAAUGCAGCUCUAAAUGGGAGGUAAAUUUCUUCUAAAGCUAAAUACCGGCCAGAGACCGAUAGCGCACAAGUAGAGUGAUCGAAAGAUGAAAAGCACUUUGGAAAGAGAGUUAAAAAGUACGUGAAAUUGUUGAAAGGGAAGCGCUUGCAACCAGACUUGUCCGCAGUUGUUCAGCCGGUCUCCUGACCGGCGUACUCUUCUGCGGCCAGGCCAGCAUCAGUUCGGGCGGUUGGAUAAAGGCCUCGGGAAUGUGGCUCUCUUCGGGGAGUGUUAUAGCCCGGGGCGGAAUGCAGCCAGCCUGGACUGAGGAUCUCGCUUCGGCAAGGAUGCUGGCGUAAUGGUUGUAAGCGGCCCGUCUUGAAACACGGACCAAGGAGUCUAACAUCUAUGCGAGUGUUUGGGUGUCAAACCCAUACGCGUAAUGAAAGUGAACGGAGGUGGGAACCCGCAAGGGCGCACCAUCGACCGAUCCUGAUGUCU
rnacentral:rRNA from 1 species